rnacentral:misc_RNA from 1 species
AGUCGUAACAAGGUCUCCGUAGGUGAACCUGCGGAGGGAUCAUUACCAAAGAUGGCGGGCCUCCGGGUCCCCGUCCCCAACUCUUUGUUGAUCCAAAAUCCUUUUGCCAUCGGGGUCAGGAGCGUCCGUCGCCGCCCCGGCAGGACCACCGAACGCUGUCUCUUUACGUCGGAGUAUUGAUUAAAUAAAUGAAAA